UGGCUGCAGUAUUUUGACUGUACAAAGGUAGCAUAAUCAUUAGUUUCUUAAUUGGAAGCUUGUAUGAAAGGCUAAACGAGAAUUUAUCUAUUUAUUUAUUAAGUUUAUUGAAAUUAAUUUAUAAGUUAAAAAUCUUAUAUAAUUGAAAGGGACGAGAAGACCCUAUAGAAUUUUAGAUUAUUUGGUUGUUUUUUUAAUUUUUGGUUGGGGUGACAUAAAAUAAACUUUUUAUUUAUCAAAUUCAUGUUAAAUGGUUUAAAGAUCCUUUAUUAAAGAGAGUAAGAUAAAAUUACCUUAGGGAUAACAGCAUGAUUUUUUUUAGAAGUUCUUAUUUAUGAAAGAGAUUAUGACCUCGAUGUUGAAUUAAGUUUACUCUUUGGGGCAGAUUUUAGAGAGUUGAGUCUGUUCGACUUAUAAAUUUUUACGUGAUUUGAGUUCAGACCGGCGUGAGCCAGGUUGGUUUCUAUCUUUUUAAAUUAA
rnacentral:rRNA from 1 species